rnacentral:rRNA from 1 species
UACGUAGGGGGCAAGCGUUGUCCGGAUUUAUUGGGCGUAAAGAGCGUGUAGGCGGCCCAGUAAGUCUGCUGUGAAAACUCGAGGCUUAACCUCGAGCUGUCGGCGGAAACUAUUUGGCUAGAGUCCGGAAGAGGAGAAUGGAAUUCCCGGUGUAGCGGUGAAAUGCGCAGAUAUCGGGAAGAACACCCGUGGCGAAGGCGGUUCUCUGGGACGGUACUGACGCUGAGACGCGAAAGCGUGGGGAGCGAACAGG